UCUGAGAGACUGCAGGUUUUCUUGAUGGCUGAGAUGGAUUAUAAACUUUUACAAGGAGAUUCUAAGGGGUACCUGAGGAAACCUGCAUUUAACUUUUUGUUUUGGCAGCUCGUGGCUAAAAUAUCACUGCUGAUCCAAAUUUGUAACCCUAUGGCUUUGUUGGACUAACAGUUUGCACUGGUAUGGUGGAGGAAUGUUGUCACUGGUGUAUUCUUCAAACUCUUUUAUGCUACCUGUUCAAAUUCUGCCACUGUGGGGAUGAUCUAAGCAGGCUGCAAGAGAGGUUUUGUUGGAUGACAGUAGUAGUUGCUAGUUCUGGGAUUGUUACCUUCUCACUAAUACAUGCAGUGUAAUGUUUUGCCCUCUCUGGUGUUUGUCUUGUUUUUAAGGAUGCUCAAGAUCCAUCAGUGACAGUGAGCUUUCCACUGGAUGAAGAGGCAAGUGUUUCUCUUGUUGCUGGGACCACGACUCCUUGGACCUUGCCCAGUAAUCUGUCCCUUGUGUUAAUGCAGAGUUGCAAUAUGUAGAAUGGAGAGAGAGUGCCACAGGACAGAUUUCCAUUUGGAUGGAAUCCAGGCUGGUAGCACUGCAUAAACCUGAAAGUGAAUAGGAAAUACUUGACAGGAUGAUGACAGAGUCUGCAUGGACUUGAAUAGAAUUCAGAAGGGUGCUGUAGCUGUUUGUGCCGUCGAUGCAUCUGGCUGCUUCACAGCAGAGGUGGCUGACUUGGCUGGACAGUAUGUGAAGGAUGCAGAUAAGAACAUCACUAAAGUACUGAAAGAGAAAGGGAGCCUGGUUCACAGCAGUAGUUUUAAGCACAGCUCUCCUUUCUGCUGGAGGUCUGAUACUCUGCUGAUAGACAAAGCUGUGCCAAGCUGGUUUGUAAGAGUGGAACACAUGGUGGAGAAACUGCUGGAAUGUAAUGCCCAAUGCUACUGUAUGUGACCUUGCCUGAGUUGCCUGCUGUUGUGGUCUUCAAAGAUGGAGCUUCCUUUGUUUCUGAUGAGUGUGAAGAUGGUGAUUUGUCAUCCUGGAUAAACAGAGCAAGAUUUCAAGGGUAUCUUCAUGUGGAUGGCUUUACACUUCAUGAACUUGGAGACAGAGGUGAAAACAAGAGAGCAGCAAGACAGGAAGCACAAAAGCAAACCUCUCUCAUGAAGGAAACAGCACAACUGCAAGCACAGCUUUAAGCACAGCAUACCAAGGAGGAAAAGAAAUCCCAAGCAGAGCAAAGGGGAGGAGUGGCUUAGAGAAAAGCAAAAGCACCCCACAAAGGACACAGCCAAAACACCACCCCACAAAGGACACAGCCAACCUACCCCCGCAAAGGGGAUCAGCCAAAGGCUUCUGCCUCUCCUGGGGCAGCUUAAAAAGGGGAGGUCAAUUGAAGUCUCCUCCCACCCCAGCUGUGGCCACUUUGCCCUCCCUGCUCAGUGCCCUUUAUAAGCAGAGCAGGAGGAGCCCAGCCCCAAGCUGGGCCCAUUGCGGGCCAAGGGAUCCUCCGCCUGGCAUCCCAGAAAGCAGGAGUCAGCCACCUGCCACCCAUCCCCUCCUGACCCCAACCCCAGAAACCCAAAGCAGCACUUGGCACAGGAGGUCUCUCGUGUUGCAGUCUCAACUUCAAGCCCUGGAAUACUUUGCUUCAGCCAGCAGCAUGGGGUUGGAUACCAACAGCAGAGUCGACUUAACCUGUGACUAAGUGAACUUUAAGUGUUCUGACUCCACAGUGGAACCUGAUAAAGAAAGAUGUGAAUGGAA